rnacentral:rRNA from 1 species
CCUACGGGAGGCAGCAGUGAGGAAUAUUGGUCAAUGGGCGUAAGCCUGAACCAGCCAAGUCGCGUGAGGGAUGAAGGUUCUAUGGAUCGUAAACCUCUUUUAUAAGGGAAUAAAGUGUGGGACGUGUCCUGUUUUGUAUGUACCUUAUGAAUAAGGAUCGGCUAACUCCGUGCCAGCAGCCGCGGUAAUACGGAGGAUCCGAGCGUUAUCCGGAGUUAUUGGGUUUAAAGGGUGAGUAGGCGGCAUGUUAAGUCAGCGGUGAAAGCCUGUGGCUCAACCAUAGAAUUGCCGGUGAAACUGGGAGGCUUGAGUAUGUGUGAGGCAGGCGGAAUGCGUGGUGUAGCGGUGAAAUGCGUAGAUAUCACGCAGAACCCCGAUUGCGAAGGCAGCCUGCCAAGCCAUGACUGACGCUGAUGCACGAAAGCGUGGGGAUCAAACAGGAUUAGAUACCCUGGUAGUC